CUGGCUCAGGAUGAACGCUGGCGGCGUGCCUAACACAUGCAAGUCGAACGGAGUUUAACGCUGAUG
rnacentral:rRNA from 1 species